rnacentral:ncRNA from 2 species
AGCACCGCACGUCGCGUGGUGUCCGGUG